rnacentral:rRNA from 1 species
AUUGAACGCUGGCGGCAGGCUUAACACAUGCAAGUCGAGCGGGGGAAGGUAGCUUGCUACCGGACCUAGCGGCGGACGGGUGAGUAAUGCUUAGGAAUCUGCCUAUUAGUGGGGGACAACAUCUCGAAAGGGAUGCUAAUACCGCAUACGUCCUACGGGAGAAAGCAGGGGAUCUUCGGACCCUGCGCUAAUAGAUGAGCCUAAGUCGGAUUAGCUGGUUGGUGGGGUAAAGGCCUACCAAGGCGACGAUCUGUAGCGGGUCGGGGAGGAUGAUCGGCCACACGGGGACUGGACCACGGCCCAGACUCCUCCGGGAGGAAGCGGUGGGGAAUAUUGGAAAAUGGGGGGAACCCUGAUCCAGCCAUACCGCGUGUGUGAAGAAGGCCUUAUGGUUGUAAAGCACUUUAAGCGAGGAGGAGGCUACUCUAGUUAAUACCUAGGGAUAGUGGACGUUACUCGCAGAAUAAGCACCGGCCAACUCUGUGCCAGCAGCCGCAGUAACAC